rnacentral:rRNA from 1 species
AUUGAACGCUGGCGGCAGGCCUAACACAUGCAAGUCGAACGAGUGGCGGACGGGUGAGUAAUGUCUGGGCAACUGCCUGAUCGAGGGGGAUAACUACUGGAAACGGUAGCUAAUACCGCAUACCAUCGGAUGUGCCCAGAUGGGAUUAGCUAGUAGGGGGGGUAAAGGCUCACCUAGGCGACGAUCCCUAGCUGGUCUGAGAGGAUGACCAGCCACACUGGAACUGAGACACGGUCCAGACUCCAACGGUGGGCAGCAGUGGGGAAUAUUGCACAAUGGGCGAAAGCCUGAUGCAGACAUGCCGCGUGAAUGAAGAGGGCCUUCGGGUUGUAAAGUACUUUCAGCGGGGAGGCGUUACCCGCAGAAGAAGCACCGGCUAACUCCGUGCCAGCAGCCGCGGUAAUUC